rnacentral:rRNA from 1 species
AAGGGCACCACAAGAACGCGUGGAGCAUGUGGCUUAAUUUGACUCAACCCGGGAAAUCUUACCAGGUCCAGACAUAUUGAGGAUUGACAGGCGAUAGUAUAUAAAAUAUAUUUUUAUAUGCAUAAAAAUGAUAGUCCUUUCAUGAUUAUAUGAUAGGUGGUGCAUGGCCGUUCUUAGUUCGUGGAGUGAUUUGUCUGCUUAAUUGCGUUUCAGUAAAUAAAAAUAUAUAAUAUAUUAUAAUAUUUAGUUCUGCCAUUUAUUUAUGGAUUUAAAGUGAACAUAUUAUAUAUAUUAUUAUAUAAUAAAUGAAUGCAACGAACGUGACCGUAACCUUUUAUUGCUAUUGAAAAUUAUAAUUAUAGCAUAAAAUUAAAGGAACCGCUGUCAUUACUAAAUAUGUGUUAAAAUAGAGUAAGAUUAUGGCAAUAACAGGUCUGUGAUGCCCUCAGAUGUUCUGGGCUGCACACGUGCUACAAUAAUUACAUUAAUAAGUAUAUAUACUUUAUAAUAUAUAAUAUUAUAUUACAACCUAUUUCGAAAGUAAAUCGGUAAUCAUUUAAAAAUCGUGAUUAAUUAAUAUAAAUAUAAUUAAUUUAAGGUGGGGAUAGUGUAUUGUUAAUUAUUACACUUGGCCUUAACUAGGAAUGCCUUGUACUCUUCUUUGGUUUAACAUACCAAGAGGAAUACGUCCCUGCCCUUUGUACACACCGCCCGUCGCUCUUACCGAUGAAUUAUAUUAUAAAUCUAAGGGAUUUAUUAUAAUUAAAAUAUAAAAAACUUAUAUACAUAAUGGAUUUAAAGGAAAGAGAAGUCGAACAAGGCA